rnacentral:rRNA from 1 species
CCUACGGGGGGCAGCAGUGAGGAAUAUUGGUCAAUGGCCGAGAGGCUGAACCAGCCAAGUCGCGUGAGUGAAGAAGUAUUUCGGUAUGUAAAGCUCUAUCAGCAGGGAAGAAAAUGACGGUACCUGAUUAAGAAGCCCCGGCUAACUACGUGCCAGCAGCCGCGGUAAUACGUAGGGGGCAAGCGUUAUCCGGAUUUACUGGGUGUAAAGGGAGCGUAGACGGCAGCACAAGUCUGGAGUGAAAUGCCGGGGCUUAACCCCGGAACUGCUUUGGAAACUGUGCAGCUAGAGUGCAGGAGAGGUAAGUGGAAUUCCUAGUGUAGCGGUGAAAUGCGUAGAUAUUAGGAGGAACACCAGUGGCGAAGGCGGCUUACUGGACUGUAACUGACGUUGAGGCUCGAAAGCGUGGGGAGCAAACAGGAUUAGAUACCCGAGUAGUC